rnacentral:rRNA from 1 species
GACGAACGCUGGCGGCGUGCUUAACACAUGCAAGUCGAACGGAAAGGCCCUGCUUUUGUGGGGUGCUCGAGUGGCGAACGGGUGAGUAACACGUGAGUAACCUGCCCUUGACUUUGGGAUAACUUCAGGAAACUGGGGCUAAUACCGGAUAGGAGCUCCUGCUGCAUGGUGGGGGUUGGAAAGUUUCGGCGGUUGGGGAUGGACUCGCGGCUUAUCAGCUUGUUGGUGGGGUAGUGGCUUACCAAGGCUUUGACGGGUAGCCGGCCUGGGAGGGUGACCGGCCACAUUGGGACUGCGGUACGGCCCAGACGCCUACGGGAGGCAGCAGUGGGGAAUAUUGCACAAUGGGCGGAAGCCUGAUGCAGCAACGCCGCGUUCGUGAUGACGGCCUUCGGGUUGUAAACCGCUUUCGCCUGUGACGAAGCGUGAGUGACGGUAAUGGGUAAAUAAGCACCGGCUAACUACGUG